rnacentral:rRNA from 1 species
UACGUAGGUCCCGAGCGUUGUCCGGAUUUAUUGGGCGUAAAGCGAGCGCAGGUGGUUUAUUAAGUCUGGUGUAAAAGGCAGUGGCUCAACCAUUGUAUGCAUUGGAAACUGGUAAACUUGAGUGCAGGAGAGGAGAGUGGAAUUCCAUGUGUAGCAGUGAAAUGCGUAGAUAUAUGGAGGAACACCGGUGGCGAAAGCGGCUCUCUGGCCUGUAACUGACACUGAGGCUCGAAAGCGUGGGGAGCAAACAGG